GUGCAGACUCAGCACAGGACUCAAGGAUGUUGUCUGCUUCUCAGUCCUUAAUGUAUUUAGGUGACAGCUUACACGGUGGCAGUGUGACUACUUAGUCUAAAGGCGUCCCUCUCAGGCUUUUCUCACUGUUGUCUGAGGCUCAUCACAGGAUACGUUUCUGUGUUUAUUGUUUGUUCCUUUAGACAAUAUCUGCUAUAUCUUCCUCAGAGACUUUUUGUAUGGACCAAAGCAACAAAUAUUUAUUGCCAUGAAUACAAGAAUAUGAGACAUGCAACAGAAGCACUUUGUAAAAUAGGUAGAAUUGUUGAGCCAGUCUGGAGUUGGCUCCCUUCUCCAAUGCAGUUUAAACGUCCCAGGUAAAAGCUAGUGAUCCUAAGACCACUGUCCACCCCGGAGCAAGAGGAUAAGUCAGACUGGGACGGGGUGGCCUCAUGGGAACCAAGUACAGACUUGUAGACUGUCCUUAGAGUCAGCCAACAGGAGCAGGACAAGUGUCGGAAACUUCAAGAGGGAACUCUGAUGACCAAGACUGAAGCUGUUUUUGUAUUUCAUGGCCAAGGGUAUGCUACAGACUAUGCCUGUUGUUUUCCAUCUGUCUCUUUUUCCCCUGACAACAUCUCCCUGAUGCUGAUAAUCAUCUCCCUCCCCUGUAAAAGGAAUAUGUGAAGGAUGAUAGCUUAGCAGUUACAGACUUUUCAACAAAACCCCCAGUCCUCCAGCAGUCAUCCCUGGAGUGUACCCAGAGAAAAUGACACUGCUUCUGCCCUUUUGAGAACAUGUGCUAUGAUGUAUGGAAGCUGGCUACAUCCAUUUGAUCACUUGAGACCCACUGUGACCCCCAGGAGUCCUGUGUAGGGUUCAGUGUGAGUACUUGAACAUAGAUAGCCUAGAGACUCGCUGUCAGUUCACUCUUCUGUGUGUGAGGAGUACGUCCUCCUAUUCUUUAGACUGCCCUCAGCACUGCUUUAGCAUUUAGUGGUUCAAGGGGACAGCAGAUCACCACCACCUGGUUUAUACACCCAUGGUAUGAACAAUCAUUACUGGAUGGAAAGAGAGAGAGAGAGAGAGAGAGAGAGUUCGUUAAAGAGCUGCUUUUUGUUUAAAUCUUAACCUCUGAUCUUUCUGUGUCAUCCUCCAAGCUCUGAAAGAAGGUCAGAGUAAAAACGGCGGACAUUGUGUUUCGUUCUGUCUUCCCUUGCUCUACUCUCGUGCCCAAUGCCAGGUGGAGUGAGGUGCUCUGCGUUACUGUCGAAGGUCAGUGUCAGCACCGCCUUGGUUGUAGCAUCAAGGCUGCACGAGCCUUGCUAAAUGCAGCAUGCCUAGAUGUGCCCUGGCCUUGUGUCUGGGCUGGGGAAUGGCUGAUGAUGAUGUGGUGACGCUAGAGACUGCCUUCCCCUCGACAGAGCCAGCUGCUAGGAAGGGCUAAUGUGGGAGAAUGGUCCCCAAGAGCACAGGCUCCAUUCUGCUCAGGCAUUCAGUCUAAUCCUUGUCCAAGUACCCACUCAGUGUGUGUGCACCCAGGGCUGAUUAAAGCUCUCCCUGGUCACACUACCUUAAAAUCUCUUGUCUGGACUUCUGUAGUCCUGAUGAUAGAAUGGCCUAACUUCUCCCUGUUUGUCUUGUCUGCCUUCUCAUAGGGGGCACAGCAUGGAGAUGCCAAGGCCAGGAGGCUGGGUUGGUGCUGUUUUUCUAGCCAAGAGUGCAAGCGUCUAUAUUCUCAUCUGAAAAGAACAAGGCAGGGCUCGUUCUAUGAAACAUUUCUUAAGAAGAAUAGUGUUGUGAGGGUGUGAGGAGAAUUGGUUAUUUGUCAUAACUUCCAAACACUGUAGGCUCAGAGCAGCCAUUCCGACCUCAAACAGGGCUCUUUAACAGAAGCACCGUCCUCAUCAGUAGGUCAUGUUGCCAUUUGGGGCUCUCGGGCUACACCCCAAGAGGCUUAUCAGAACAUCUUUUUAACCCCUUAGGUAGUUCCUCCUCCGUCCUUUUUAUUGACAGGGAUAUCCCUUGCACAUUCAGAUGAUGGCUUCCUUUCUCUUUGUCUUGUCCUGUAAAGGCACUGCCUUACCUGUAACUCACGGGGAAUCCUCUGUCUGAAGACUUGAUAAGUGUGAGAGGUCAAGCCCUGGACUUGGGAGCCCUGGAGGGUGAGAAAGGUGGGUUAACAAAGGAAGUAAAAGCCACCUGUCCUCAGGGUCUUACAGUCUGUAAGUUUAUAGUUUGCCUGAUUUGGAAGGCUAAGCAAACACAGAUACACCUUGUCAAGAAAGAAUGCGGGCUCAUUAGCACACAGUUCAGAAUGAAGCUGGAGUGGAGGAAAGGACUGAGGUGGAGAUGUGUCAGGGAUGAUCUCGCCUUUAUCUGUAUAUGUGACUCCCUAGGUUUUUUUUUUUUAAUUGAUUUAUUUAAAAUAAAUUCUGUGGAUUUUGCUUCUGUGCUUUGACUGGG
rnacentral:lncRNA from 1 species